rnacentral:rRNA from 1 species
UACGGAGGAGGCAAGCGUUAUCCGGAAUUAUUGGGCGUAAAGCGUCCGCAGGUGGCUAUUCAAGUCUGCGGUCAAAGACUGGGGCUUAACCCUGGAAAGGCCGUGGAAACUGAAGAGCUAGAGUGCAGUAGGGGUAGAGGGAAUUCCCGGUGUAGCGGUGGAAUGCGCAGAUAUCAGGAGGAACACCAAUAGCGAAGGCAGCUCGCUGGGACGUUACUGACACUGAGGCGCGAAAGCGUGGGGAGCGAACAGG